rnacentral:rRNA from 1 species
GCGAUACCCGAAUGGGGAAACCCAGUGUGACUCGUCACACUAUCAUUAACUGAAUCCAUAGGUUAAUGAGGCGAACCGGGGGAACUGAAACAUCUAAGUACCCCGAGGAAAAGAAAUCAACCGAGAUUCCCCCAGUAGCGGCGAGCGAACGGGGAGGAGCCCAGAGCCUGAAUCAGCAUGUGUGUUAGUGGAAGCGUCUGGAAAGGCGCGCGAUACAGGGUGACAGCCCCGUACACAAAAGCGCAUGUGCUGUGAGCUCGAUGAGUAGGGCGGGACACGUGGUAUCCUGUCUGAAUAUGGGGGGACCAUCCUCCAAGGCUAAAUACUCCUGACUGACCGAUAGUGAACCAGUACCGUGAGGGAAAGGCGAAAAGAACCCCGGCGAGGGGAGUGAAAAAGAACCUGAAACCGUGUACGUACAAGCAGUGGGAGCACCCUUUGGGUGUGACUGCGUACCUUUUGUAUAAUGGGUCAGCGACUUAUAUUCUGUAGCAAGGUUAACCGAAUAGGGGAGCCGGAGGGAAACCGAGUCUUAACCGGGCGUUAAGUUGCAGGGUAUAGACCCGAAACCCGGUGAUCUAGCCAUGGGCAGGUUGAAGGUUGGGUAACACUAACUGGAGGACCGAACCGACUAAUGUUGAAAAAUUAGCGGAUGACCUGUGGCUGGGGGUGAAAGGCCAAUCAAACCGGGAGAUAGCUGGUUCUCCCCGAAAGCUAUUUAGGUAGCGCCUCGUGAAUUCAUCUCCGGGGGUAGAGCACUGUUUCGGCUAGGGGGCCAUCCCGGCUUACCAACCCGAUGCAAACUGCGAAUACCGGAGAAUGUUAUCACGGGAGACACACGGCGGGUGCUAACGUCCGUCGUGAAGAGGGAAACAACCCAGACCGCCAGCUAAGGUCCCAAAGUCAUGGUUAAGUGGGAAACGAUGUGGGAAGGCCCAGACAGCCAGGAUGUUGGCUUAGAAGCAGCCAUCAUUUAAAGAAAGCGUAAUAGCUCACUGGUCGAGUCGGCCUGCGCGGAAGAUGUAACGGGGCUAAACCAUGCACCGAAGCUGCGGCAGCGACACUGUGUGUUGUUGGGUAGGGGAGCGUUCUGUAAGCCUGUGAAGG